CCUCCCGUUCCCGGUAAUGACAAUCAUUACGGGGAAUGAUUGCAGCGUCGGGUCCGCCAGCGCGCCAGCCGCUAUUGGGGGAUGGAAACCACCUUAUAGAGUCUCUCCUCGGUCCUCGAUGCGAGCGGUUUGUCACAUGCUCCCGACGCGGCGGAGUGUUUCCUUUUCGUCGCGAUUCCUUACGAAUUCGUUACUACGGUGAAAAAAUGCCAUCCUUUUCGCUGAACGAUCGUGUAAGAUGGACAGACGUUGAAGACACGAGCGUUCGAAGUAUGGCCGACGAUUUCGAGCCUCGAACACGUGGAUUUCUAGAAGACUUCUAUCGUGGAGAAAGGUUUACCGAGAUUGGAUUGAAAUUUUUGUGGCUUUUCGAGGUGAUAAUUUGAGAAAUGGAAUUGGAGUAAUGGACUGCGAUGCUGGAUCGAGAAAGUGACGAAUGAAAGACGCGGACGAUGCGACGGUCGCGUGAUGGAAACGUUUCAGUGCGAUACGAGUGCGUCAUCGAAUACUCAGGGUCAGGAUGAUGUAAUUGCUGGAAGAUUUUUUGUAUGGCUCGGCGAAUGAUGGAAAAGUCUUGUGAUAAACAUAGUAAAAUGUAUGCAAAAAGUCUAUACAUGAGAAUCAUCGAGAUGACAGAAGAACAUGGCGGUCAUUCGACCACGUGACUGUUUGUGCGACCAUUUUCAAGGUGCAGCACAGGGACAGAGGAAAAAAGAGAACGAGAACCUUGAACCAAUCGUAAAUGGCGUGGAGUGAAAGCGGUCGGUCUCCGCGGUUUUCCCAGAAGAGCGCGAGCCACGAAAUUAUCGACCUGUAAAUCGGAACGAAGGAUCUCGUUUCUUACUUACCAACGUGGGUAUGAGCUCGCUCUCUGUGCCAGAAGAAAAAGGAAAUAUAAAAGAGAGAACAAAGAUUGAACGUACACGUUGGUCCCGAGACGAAAAUCGUGAAUCUGGUGCGUGCUACGAACGACGAUUCAGACGUUACAAUUUGCUCCUCGCCGCGAACAGCUUUCUGCCACGUCAAUCCUCGCACGUCGAAACGUGGCUCGGUGUUCCCUACGAUUGAUUUACAUCAUCCAUUUGACGGAUUACGAAUAACGAUGUUUAGAUGUUUCAGAAAAUGACUGGCGAGCCGGGUUUGAAGAUUUCUAUCGAGAACAUUAUUGCACAACGCAACCGAGUGAUUGAUGGAGAGCGUGCACUAUUUUCUGACAUGGUUUCGAUGAAAAAAAGUGUCAUUUAUUUCCCCCAGUGAUAACUCUGGGAAUCCUUCCACUUGGAUUAAUGACUAACCAUUAUCGUGCAGACUGUGUAUCAUUUCUUACACUUUAAUUGCGAGUAACUGGAAAAUAAAGCGGUAGCUUCGCCCACGAGAAACCAGAGAGAAAGAGAGAGAUUUAUUCUAUGCCAUUAUAGUAAUGAAAAAACGAGAAAAGGAGCUGCAAUAGACGAGAAAGCGUCGUGGGGUCACACCUUACCCGAUCGAAAAGGAAGAUGAGAUUGAACGGUGACACUCGACGGACAAUACCCCGUGACUCGAUUACACACGAGUACCGUUAAUCAUCCUAAUAGCGUGCGCAUAAUGUCAGAUACGAUCUGCGUUCGCUUGCUACGGUAGAUUCGUGAUGCCACGCUCCUCCAACGAUCGUUCGGCCCACGUGCGACUCGGCGUCGCACAGGAUGAGUCGAAUAGAAAAUGAAAUCAUGCUCCGCCGCUUAGAAGUACGGCUUUAAGAUCGUGAAUGGGCGUACAGAGACAAUCGGAGACGCUAGGCGCCUGAAUUCCGAUUGGACGUUGCCUUCUAAUUGAGUCAUCGUGUCAUUAGCGUUAUAAUAAUCACGGCUCGUAACGAAACGAUCUCUCUUUGUCGACUGUACGCUGGCCUGGAACGCCACCGCCGGGAAAACACAGAGAUCCACCCGAAGAUCGUACGUAGAUCGAUGGCCAAUUAAGCUCAAUUACCGACACGGAUAAUCGGCCACCGUCGGUGAAAGAAUGAUUAUUCCGCGAAUGAUCGGUUAGGAUAUCGACCUUGGCUGAUUUUGCAAGAUCGAUUGCAACGAUAAAGUAGACAGAGGGAGGAAUUCUUGAUCAAGUAGGAAGAACGAUUGGACGGAGAAAGGAGCUUACGAGGGAGAAAAGAGAAUUUCUUAAAUUGAAUUUGCGAUUGCAUUUGAAGAUUUACAUUGCUACAUUUUAUAGCUAUAUCGUACUUGUCUAAUGCAUUGCACAAGAUAGGAAUUAUUCUUCAACGGAUAUGAUAAAUGAUUGAAGAAAGAAGAUCGAAAGGAAGGAUAGUUUCCUAAAUUGAAUAUUCUUGAACGAAUAUGAAAACCGAUUGGUCGAAGAAAGAAGUUGGAAAGAAAGGUAGAAUAGUUUCCUGAACUGAAUUCGCGAUCAUAUUUAGAGGUAUUAAAAUAGAAUUGGUAUACUAUAUCGUAUGUAUUCGUCGAGCCGCCUAUUUCACUGGAAUCCGAACAAAGAGGGCCUCGCAUUUUCGGAACGAGUUACCGGAACAUCGCGUGCCACCGAAAUAUUCUGGAAAUAUGCUAAUUACCAGUUAGUCAGUCAGUUUCUUGUGGCAUUGCGCCCGUUUCUACGAUCGCUAUUGCCUCCUUUCCACGCGGUUCACCUUGUCGAGACGUUUCGUCCCUUCUUUCCUGACUCUUUGUCCCGGUUUUCAGGAUUGUUCUUGUCCUUUGUCCGCCGCGUUCGAUUGUCCCUUCGACGAACAUGCGACAAUUUGACGCCGUUUAUCUUUCAUUCUUUUCCGUUCGAACGGAAGGUUUAGCUUCUUUUUUUAUGGGGAGUUUUAAAGUCAUAAAUAUGGGUCAAAGAAAAAUUGCACCUGUGUCCAAGUGGGUUCUUGGGAACUUCAUGCCAACCCUUGAAUUUUUGUAAAUUACGCAAAGGAAUACUUUACUUCUGUGAACUCUUUCUUAAUAAUCACGAACAUUUGUCGUGAACUUUUUUGAUAGAUAUGCGAUAGACGAGCGAUUUAUUUAAAGAUUUUUGAACUAGAAGCGAAUCGAUUGAACCUUCUCUGUAAUUUUACCGUUACUGUCUGACGAAGUCCUAUUCUACUUUGCACAACUUCAAUCCUCCAUAGCCAUACAUUUUACAGACUCUUUAGACAAAGUGGGUCGUUUAUAUUCAAGUGUAAAUCUUCUAUUGUUCUCGAUUUUCAGAAAACGUACGAAACUUCUGGAAUACUUAUCAGUGUCUCUAUUCUAUUAUUAUACAACGCUACGUUAAAGCAAAUAUUUGAAACUUUUCUUAAUAAAAAUGAAAAAUCUUUUCUCAGAGAAAUUGAAUUGUUCUCGAUGGAUUGAAUAUGCAAGCGUACGACACUCAUAGAACCGGCGAGGUUAAUGAAACUUAAUUUUCUAUUAUCGUGGCAGGCAAAGUGUUAAUUUCUAGUAUUAUGCACUAUAUUUUACUUCUUAUCAGAAAUUGAAAGAUUUACGAAGAGCUAAAUAUUGUGCGCAGCCAGACGACUUUCGCAGAAACAAGAGGGUGAAUAACGGAAAACAUAAGUUUUUAACGUCAUUGAAGGCUAGGUGCUAAUUUGUAAUUAUCGUAUACUAUGUUUUCCUUUUUAUAAUCGAGUUUUCGACUCGUUUUUCAUCGACAGGGAUCGUUGUCAUUGAGAAAGGCCGGCCAACAUCUCGACAGUGUACUUUCUUGCCUCUCUGUUGUGUGCAGUACAAGCGUGCAUACUUUCUGUCUUCACUCCCAUUAAUUAACCACACUGUGUACGCGGUUGUUCUCCUGUUUCGAGAAUGAGGAGCGACCCCUGCGCUGUAUCGCCGGCCUACAACAUCCGCCCUGAAUUAAUUGAAUAUACGGCUCGCGUUUACACGCGAUACGGAGCCAGUCUUUGUAUGUUGACUAAUACGGGGCUUUGGUACGUUGGGGAAAAUUAAAAAUUCAUCGGAAAUCGCGCGUAGGACGGCCUACCUCAUUCCCGCGAAACCGUAGGGUUUCGUGUGAUUCGAGACCCGAGCCGUGGCACCUACACGUUCAGUCUUCCCGCGAAUUCGUUCAGAAAAAACAACAACCUUCUUGGAAACGUGUAUCAUGCGAAUAUUAACAAAUAGAAUGCGGAUUUUUAUGCAUUUAUAAGAAAUUUGAAAAUACGAAAUUGUACGGAGCGCGCGUGAUACGAAGAAAAUAUAUAAAAUAUCGAAAAUAUAGCGCUUUGUAUGAUAUCGAUAGUUGGAACAAUCUUCUACGAAGAUUAACAGAAAAUGCCAAUACGAACCCAAAAUUUAUACGCGUCCUGUUCACUACCAACAUAUUUUUACGUGUCUCGUACAACAAUGAUUUUAUUAUGUUCCGAAUGACGUGAAUUUGCAUGGAAAUGCAGUCAAUUAAUAAACUUUGAACCACGUUUGGGAAGUCGUUCUUCAAAAGGUACGGCUCUGACUUGAUGGCAAAUGCGAAACGAGCGAGUGAAAUCAGGAAAAUUAGACUACCAUAGUCGUUGUAGUAUUCCACCCAUGUUUUUCUCCUUCGAUGUCUGGUUCAUACAAACUCGUCACACCUUCGACCAUUUUCUAAACUUUGUUCUCGAGCAUGUUCGAGUGGUAAAACCGUGACGUUUGCACCUUCGAGUGCAGCAUCGACGGCGGCGCGUAGAGAACAACCGGAAACGAGGGCAGGUCUAUUAUCGCCCCGGAGGUUAUACGAGCUAGCCGAAGUUUCAUCGCCGUGGAGUUCCAGGUACAGCAAUAUGUUGUUUUAUGGUGCAAUCAUCGGCGCGGUAAUAAUCAUUAAAUCCGUUGGCCGAAGCUGUGGGCUCCAGGGUCUCGUGGUCUUUGUCUCUUUCUCUCCUGAACGAGCUCGUCGUUAGGCUCAGAUUAAUUCGUUGAUCCUGAUGUUGUUUCGCUGUUAAAUGAUCAACAAGAAUAAUCGUUUGUUCUAUUAGCUGAAAACAAACUUUCUUACGAAAGAGAAUUUGACUUAAAAAAUUAUCAUUCGAAGAAUUUCUUAACUUUAACUAGCACUAAUACUUUUAUAGAGAGGAAUCGUCGGUGAUGCUGUACCGAAAAAAUCUUCUUUCGUUCACCUUCGUAUUAGGUAGAAGUACGAGAGAUUCCGAGAUAGUUGAUGGGUUAAAAACAGAUUGAAUUUAAAAAGUUGUAGUUUAAACAUGGUUUUGCGUUUAAUUCUUUCGCGAAGAAAUUUCUUCAACGGGCUAAAGGCGCCGGCUAUGAUUGCACAAAAAUCUUUUCUCGUUUAUUUCCUCUAUUAAGGACAGGAAGGGAGAAAAGUAGAAAAUCAGUGAGUUAAAGAAGGAAAGAAGAAAGAUCGUCAUUCGAGUGAUUAUCUUACUUGAUAUUUUUGUGUAGAAAUUUUUCAUCGCUCUAGAGGCGCCAGCGAUGGAUACCAAAAAGUCCUUUUUCUAUAUCGAGAAAAGGAAAGAGAAGGGAGACUACGAAAGGGUUAGUUAGCGAGUUAUAUGAUGGCCAUAAUUGCGGUUUAUUGUCUCAAUAAAUAUAUAUUAUACGACACACGCCGGCUAUGUAUCAAGGCAGAAGCAGCUUGAUCGAACUGCUUCCCGGGAUUUGAAAUCAGACGGCAUGUGUCGGCACAUAUAAGGCGCAGUUUAUGAGUCUGCUUAAUAUGGUUUAUGGUGUUUUGUCCGGCUCUUGUCGACUCCCUACGGAACCGGAAGAUGCCUCCUAACGAUCUACCGAGAGAUGAUGACGAGGAUCAAAUAACGAUGAACCAUCGACAACACGUGUUCUUUAUAUUCAACGAAAAUUAUGUAUGUUUUAAACGUAAUUAUAAAUAUGGAAAAUAUUUUACAAAGGAGGAAUAAUUUAUUCCAAAAACAUCAUGUUACAUUCAAGCAGACGAUACAUCAAUUAUCCUCACCUCAUGAAUCGAUGACAGAAAUUACAGCUUUUUCCAAUGAUGACGUCAAUUUAUUAAAAAAGUAGCGCGAAGAAACAAUUUAACGUCUUUGUGCUUGAUCGAUUGUUGGCCAGGUUACUGAUUCAAACGUACUUACACUCGUAUAUUGUUGCAUAAUAUGCAAUUAAGGAGACAGGAAGCGUGUACAGUUUGCUAUACGUGUUAGUUUCCGCUCUGAAUUUAUCGAUCCUCGCCGUGUCGAUUGAUAAUAUUUACCGAUGAGUUUUACAUUGCAUAAGUUACUAUUUUCACAACUGGCAUGUAUCGUCACGACAGAGCUGUCUAUUGCGCAACGCGAAAUAAUUAACUAAAUAAGCGACGUAAACGUUCUACUUUUCUAAUCUUCUCUAUAGUCGUUUUAUGCCUACAUUUCGUCGAUGAGUGGCCAUUAGAAGUUCAUUAUUCUUAUCUUAAUUACACCAACACGACGAUGGUUCAACAUUGUUGUGCACUUGCUUACCGUGAACCCACGAGUCGUGGGAUAUCGUGUCAUUCCAUUGGUAUAAUCUAAUAAUAAUUCAUAGAACGUAGCCCGUGUCGCGAACGUGACGAUCGGAAGAUAACGAAAAUGAUAAACUAUACCCGUAGCAUCUAGCAAUGAAAGCUGAAAAUUGCACAGUUGUAACAAAACUGUAGAUUUUUAUUCCUUUUCAUCGUAGUAUAGUUAUUCUUUUUAUCAUUGCCUCUAUAGUAGCUUUGUACUGCUGCUAGCAACAUGAUUUUUACUUCAAUCAAGGAUAGAUGAUGUAAGUUCAUAGGUAUACGUAGCGAGUAAACUGUAAAUAUUUAGGACAAUUUAUAUUUUUAUAUAAACGCAAUUGAAGAAAUGAAACCUAAUUUCUUUCGAAUUUCUUUCGACUACUUAAUAUUAUAAACUUUGGACAUUUCAUUAUAUUUUUGCGUGCUCUAAAAUUUUUCAUAAAUACGUAAAAAUCAACAGUUGAGUAAUGAGUCUGAUACAAGAAUGAAAUAACUAUGAAAAUAUUUUCGGGAUAUCUUUGUGACAAUCGAACCAUCGAUGUGCACUAUUGCGCGAUGCAAGUGCAAAUCCUGAAUAUUGUUUGUCCUUUUAGCCUUUGUAUACAAAUUAAGACGUUGCAGGAGAAUCGGAAUGAGUGGUUCAUUAUAGUAAACGCAUUCUUCCAGAUAGCGUAAAAGCGUUAGUCUUGCUGCCGGCUAAUUCCGCUUGAAUUUAACGGCAAGGACAGCCUAAUUGAUCUAUGCAAUUACGUACCGGUGGCGUAAGUGGUGCUAAGUGAAUACCGUGGUAAGCCUUGGUUUCUCGUAAAUUAUCGGACAGCAAUUUGGUGCGCGGAAAACAGAAGUAAAAAGACACCGGUGAAUCCCUUCGAUCGACAGAAAUACACAGCGUGCGAUAAGCCUUUUUGCGCAACUUUUUCGCAUCGUAAACAACAGUUUUAUUAUACCCAUUGGCUAUCACGCUGUUAUGGUUUGCCUAUUUAUCAGAAUCUGCAAUUUCAAUAAGAUCCGCUAUCUUUCAUUUAACAUUCGUAAUUUAUUUUUCUCAAUUUUCUUGUUAUAUUCUUGCGAUUUGUGUUUCGGUAGUACAUGGCGUGCUUGUGACAGUCCUUUGUUCCAUUGCUGAGAAUUUUGAAACCGAACCAGUUCCACAGACCCCUAACAUUAGAGCUCGCCUUAUUUUCUCGUAAUGACAGUCCAUCGAGGAAUGUCUUCGGGUUCGAGAUUUGGAGGUUGAAAUGAAAGACACUCCUUGGAUCGUCCGAUGAUCGUUGAGACUCUUCCUUUACCAUUAUUUAUUCCAAGAGUUGUAUUCGUGUUUGAAAUUUUCUUCCGUUAUUGUCGUGUUAAGCAGACGAUUUUUGUUUAUUAAUAUUGCCAGGAAUAUUUUUCUGUUUCUUUACCAUGACUAUGUAUUUUAUUUAUUCGAACAAAUUAAGCUCGUGUUAAUCGUAUUAAUGAUAAUCGGCGCUAAAUGCAAGAACUUAGCAAGAAAAGAACACCAUAACGGGAGGAGAAGAAUAAUACAUUAACCAUCGCUGGUCGUCGCGUCGGUUGUCUUCAUUUCACGGGGCUUUUUCCAGUAAACGGCAUGAUGGAUGCGACGGCGAGAAUGCAGUCGACGGGACAAGAAGAAGUCCAGCUGUACAUUCUUACAUAACAAUUGCGAAUUCAGCUAAUAAAUUAUAACACGUCCUAAGUGUCUAAGCAGCGAGCGUCUAUCACAAAACCCUUGCGAUAUUGCCAUCCGUCGGAAAAAGGGAAACGUUCACCAGAUAUGGAGCAAAUACCAUUUCCCAGUCAGAGGCCGAAGAAACGAAGAGUGAAAGGGAACUUUCUGAAAUCCUUUCAUUUCAGUAAAAUUGCGGUUUAUUGACACUGAUGAUCUAAAAUUCGCUGCAGCGAAUCGUCGCUAACAAAACGACCGAUAAACGUUUUAUACCUUCGCUUCGUGCUUUCUUCCAGUUUCCCCAGGAAGUAAAUCCAACUUUCCAUCCUCAUGUCGAGGAACCUGGUUCAUAAAAUUUGAUAACCAGAACAUUUGCAUAGACGCAGGAUAAAAAUGGCCUCGCAAUAACGCAACCAAAUAACGCACUGCAAAUUCCGAUUUGAUUUAAACGAAUCAGUCUCUCGGAAUCAGAAUCAGAGCGAACAUAAAAGGAUGAAGAGCCGGCGAGUGCAUCGCGAGAUACCGCUACGUCGAGUUUUAGCACUAUCCCGCGUACCGGGAUUACUUUCCUUUCCCCCGAACGAUCUUUUUCGCGAACGGUGAACGGCACGAUCGAUGGCAACGGAAAAAAUGCGGUCGAUGCAGCAGGAAGGACGCAAGGUGGACACGGUCGAAGAGAGGGUGCAGUAGGGUCGCUGCUUUCCGUGAAUGCCGGCGGCUUCGUUUGAUGGUUUUUACCGAGAGUCCUGGAUACCGCGCGUUCCUAUAGCACGAUUGGCUCCUUCCAUGGGCCCCCGUUCGGUCAUUGGUCCUUUCCAACAGGAUCGUAGGUGCCCGUGGGACGACUUUAAACAGACGUCGUCGCCUUCUAAGUUGUUCUCCGCCGCGAUUCUUUUAUACACGCCAGCUCCGCGAUGUCGUCUAUACGUGCACGGAGAAAACAACCGUCGACAUUCUUCGGGCCACUCGCCGCGGCCAACCUUUACCAAGUUCGACUAUGGCGAAAAUGAAAUAGUGACUGCGUCACGUCAAGCUUUUGACUUUUAUGGGACACGGAUUUUCUCAUCGACGCUGAGAGAGACGCUCGAGCGUGGUCCCUGCUUUCGACGAUUUUGGUCAAUGAGCACGUGGACAUUUAUUCGUAGUGAUCUAAAUCGACGAUAAAUUUCAUUCUUGGAGUAUUUAUUUAACGGUGGAGUAAUCUGGACCUUGGGUGAGGCUAGCAAUUUCUUUAUGGAAAUAUGAAUUACUUUUGUUGGUGAUGUGAUUUGGAUCUAUGCGAAUAUAUUCUUUGUAUCCUUUCGGAAUACUUCGGUGUUCGUUGAAGUGAUCCGGAUCUUGGCUGUUGUUGGGUGAAAUAGAAAUUUCUUUGUAAAUGUAUAUAUGAUUUUAUCAAAGUAUUUAUUCGAUGGAAUAAUGUAAAUCUUUGGUGCUGUUAAGGAGGCGUAGAGAUUUCUCUAUAAACAUAUAAUCGAGUUUCCUUGAAAUAUUUAUUCAACGGAGUACGCAAUUUGGGUGAUAUUGGGUGAGGCUGAGAAUUUUAGAAACAUAUGAAUGUUAUUUUUAACUUUCUCUAUUUAUAUUAAUAUACCAGAUCUUAUGCUUUAAAUUAAAGUUUUCGAACGUGAAGUCUCCCACGUAAUUAAAAUUUUCGAUGGAAAAUUUGAUAGUCGAAAAGUACGAUAUUUGCUUCGUGGAAGUUGAUUAUAUUCGGAAUAAGCGUUCGAGCGGUUCUGGUAAAUUGUAAACCGCUUGAUGUUAUGAAAAGGAAGUACAUAAUGAGGGUUAUUGCUAGCAAUCGACUACUCGAUAUUCCGUUCUGCAUUAAGACACGGAAUUAUGUUUAAAAUCGAGCACCCAAUUAGCCGAGGUGCAUGCCAUUAGGUCCAUUCUGACGAAUCAGGCUAACAUCGUUCGAUUCUGUGUCUAUAAAUCGUAACGUUAGAGGUUCUUUCGCGAUACUUAAAGCGCAGUUUCGUUAACGGAACUUCGAUCAAAGUCUCAGACGCGAAUAUGACUCGUAUAUGCGGGCCAUGGUACUUGGAGGUUUUAUGGAGUGCCGUAUAAAGUGGGAUAAAGCCUCUGUUCCGCCGGCACGAACCGAUUCUGGUAUGCACGAGAGUUUGGUUCGCCACUUCCUGAAGAGAUGGCGCCACCAUAGCGGUCGAUACGUCUUUCAUAGUUCUUCGUGUACCAAGGUUAAAGAAACGGAACUGCCUACGAUGAAGAUAUCGACGAAAAUGCUACGAUCGUUUAAAAAUAACGAGAAUUAAUAAUCGUAAGUGGUUGUCCCACGUCAAAGAGAUAAUUUGUUACAUUUUAAUCGCGAUAUAAUAAAUAUUACAAGUCGUACGAUACUUUAACAUUAUUAUAUUGUAUGCAUAAAGAAAGUCGAUGUGAACGGAUCGCGUUUGAUGUUUUCAGUUUCCAUGUUGUUUAUUUGUUUUCGCGUGUGUUCAGCUAAUGGCUGGAUACACGCUUGAUAAUGCCUUUAUAUGGCCCGAUAAAGCUCAUAUAGCUUUUAGCAAUGAAAUCAUAAUCGCGCGCGAUCGCCCGACACGAUGUAUUAACUACAUGCCAGCCCUGUUUGUAGCUACACGAAGACGCAUAAACGGUUCUAUUAAUUAUGUAGAUGAUGCUGUUGCGUCACGGAUCGACGCUGAAAACACUCGACCGAUUCCCAUAUACAUCUACAUGCGCGGUAUACAGAAGAGAACGAUGCCUGAUAUUCCUCCGAGAGAAAUGGCUUGAAGAAGAAGAGGAUUACCAGGUAGUUAUCCCUUAAAUGAACAGUUUUAUAACAAAACUCGAUAUCAAAAGUGGAAAUCUUGGCUACAUAUUUCUAACGUACAUCUUCGUUUCUACCAAUCGAAGAUAUCCUUAGAUAAUCCUACGCCUCAUUUGUGUAGUUAAUUGACAGCUAUCAAUUUAUGAAAUUGCUAUAUAAAAUCUAGGAACCAGGUACGUUUCAAGGAAAUCUCGAUGGUACGGAGGAAGACGGUAAUAUGUCAAUUAGAUUUUAAUGAAAAGCCUUGAGAAUUGAUUAGAUCAUCGGUCUUGAGAACUUUACGUAUGCCAACGGUUGGUUAUCAGGUAUUUUCAAUUCGAGAUGAGCAACGAAGACGUAAAUCAAGCUCGGAGCUUGAGAAUUUUGUUGGACGUCAAGUUGUUACGCGGAAAGUACUAAACACGUUGAUGAAGUGCUUACAAAACGUUGUCCAGAAGAGAGACAGAAAGGUAGAGGGGAGGAGGAGGACUCCCCUUGCUGUUCCUUCAAUUCAAUUGAAUUCUAUUCCAGCGUGCAGUUGAUAUCAUUGAGGUCGCCACUUAAAUCCUCAUUGUCGUUCGUCGCUUAUUGUUUCACCCUUCGUUCGGCUACCAACGAAUGUACAUACGUACGUUUCUCUUUCACAUCCGUACCCGCACCUCUAACCGAUCUAAAGGAGAGCCAGACUCGAGGGUCCAACCAGCUAAGAAUUGAAACUGUCGUUGCGGAUCGGAAAAUGACCGCUCUGGAUAAAUUACACGGGUUAGGAACACAAUUAAAUGAAUUUAAAAUUGAUACAGAUUUCAUUAAUCUACUGAAAAUGUGAUGCAAAACAAUUUUUUAGAAUGUACUAAAAGUUUUAAGCGAGAUUAAAAUACAGAAGAGUUUCAUUUCGUACGAUAACUA